rnacentral:rRNA from 1 species
GACGAACGCUGGCGGCGUGCUUAACACAUGCAAGUCGAACGAAGUGGCGAACGGGUGAGUCCUACGAGGGUAACCUGCCCUCCGUUUUGGGAUAAGCCUUGGAAACGGGGUCUACUACCGAACAAAGUGGGUUGGGCUCGCGGCCUAUGAGCUUGUUGGUGGGGUGAUGACCUACCAAGGCGGUGACGGGUAGCCGGCCUGAGAGGGUGAACGGCAACGUUGGGACGGAGAUACGGCCCAGACUCGGACGGGGGGGAGAAGUGGGGGAUAGUGCACAAUGGGCGAAAGCCUGAUGCAGCGACGCCGCGUGGGGGAUGAAGGCUUUCGGGUUGUAAAACUCUGUCGCUAUCGAACGGGUAGGUAGAGAAGAAGCGCCGGCUAACUACGUGCCAGCAGCCGCGGUAAUUC